UACGGAGGGAGCUAGCGUUGUUCGGAAUCACUGGGCGUAAAGCGCAUGCAGGCGGGUCGUUAAGUUAGGGGUGAAAUCCCGAGGCUCAACCUCGGAACUGCCUCUGAUACUGGCGACCUUGAGUCCGGGAGAGGUGAGUGGAACUGCGAGUGUAGAGGUGAAAUUCGUAGAUAUUCGCAAGAACACCAGUGGCGAAGGCGGCUCACUGGCCCGGUACUGACGCUCAGGCACGAAAGCGUGGGGAGCAAACAGG
rnacentral:rRNA from 1 species